CCAAGGCGACGAUCGGUAGCCGGCCUGAGAGGGUGAUCGGCCACAUUGGGACUGAGAUACGGCCCAGACUCCUACGGGAGGCAGCAGUAGGGAAUAUUGCACAAUGGGGGAAACCCUGAUGCAGCAACGCCACGUGUGGGAAGAAGCAUUUCGGUGUGUAAACCACUGUCAUGAGGGAAUAAGGCCCGCCUCCGGACGGGAUUGAAUGUACCUUGAGAGGAAGCACCGGCAAACUUCGUGCCAGCAGCCGCGGUAAUACGAGGGGUGCAAGCGUUGUUCGGAAUUACUGGGCGUAAAGGGAGCGUAGGCGGAGAUUCAAGCGGAUUGUACAAUCCCGGGGCCCAACCCCGGCUCUGCAGUCCGAACUGGAUCUCUUGGAUAGUUCAGGGGCAGGCGGAAUUCCUGGUGUAGCGGUGGAAUGCGUAGAGAUCAGGAAGAACACCGAUGGCGAAGGCAGCCUGCUGGGGACUCAUCGACGCUGAGGCUCGAAAGUGCGGGUAGCAAACAGGAUUAGAUACCCUGGUAGUCCGCACCGUAACCAAUGCAUACUGGGUGUCCGGGGGUUCCCCCGGGUACCGUAGCCAACGCGUUAAGUAUGCCGCCUGGGGA
rnacentral:rRNA from 1 species